GACGAACGCUGGCGGCGUGCCUAAUACAUGCAAGUAGAACGCUGAAGAGAGGAGUUUGCUCUUCUUGGAAGAGUUGCGAACGGGUGAGUAACGCGUAGGUAACCUGCCUUGUAGCGGGGGAUAACUAUUGGAAACGAUAGCUAAUACCGCAUAACAAUGGGUGACCCAUGUCAUUCAUUUGAAAGGGGCAACUGCUCCACUACAAGAUGGACCUGCGUUGUAUUAGCUAGUAGGUGAGGUAACGGCUCACCUAGGCGACGAUACAUAGCCGACCUGAGAGGGUGAUCGGCCACACUGGGACUGAGACACGGCCCAGACUCCUACGGGAGGCAGCAGUAGGGAAUCUUCGGCAAUGGACGGAAGUCUGACCGAGCAACGCCGCGUGAGUGAAGAAGGUUUUCGGAUCGUAAAGCUCUGUUGUAAGAGAAGAACGAGUGUGAGAGUGGAAAGUUCACACUGUGACGGUAUCUUACCAGAAAGGGACGGCUAACUACGUGCCAGCAGCCGCGGUAAUACGUAGGUCCCGAGCGUUAUCCGGAUUUAUUGGGCGUAAAGCGAGCGCAGGCGGUUAGAUAAGUCUGAAGUUAAAGGCUGUGGCUUAACCAUAGUACGCUUUGGAAACUGUUUAACUUGAGUGCAAGAGGGGAGAGUGGAAUUCCAUGUGUAGCGGUGAAAUGCGUAGAUAUAUGGAGGAACACCGGUGGCGAAAGCGGCUCUCUGGCUUGUAACUGACGCUGAGGCUCGAAAGCGUGGGGAGCAAACAGG
rnacentral:rRNA from 1 species